rnacentral:rRNA from 1 species
AUAUCAAUAAGCGGAGGAAAAGAAAACAAUUGUGAUACCCCUAGUAACGGCGAGUGAAGAGGGUACAGCCCAACUUUGAAAUCUGGCGCUUUCAGCGUCCGAGUUGUAGUCUCGAGAAGCGUGACCCGCAGAGUCCCUCACCAGAUCGGUUCGGAUACCGAGUCAUAGAGGGUAACAAUCCCGUUGGGUCUGGGUACCGAGCAUAGCGGUCCGCUCUCUAAGAGUCGAGUUGUUUGGGAAUGCAGCUCUAAUCCGGUGGUAAAUUCCAUCUAAGGCUAAAUAUUGGCGAGAGACCGAUAGCGCACAAGUA